CCUACGGGGGGCUGCAGUGGGGAAUAUUGGACAAUGGGGGCAACCCUGAUCCAGCCAUGCCGCGUGUGUGAAGAAGGCCCUCGGGUUGUAAAGCACUUUCAGUGAGGAAGAACGCCUGGUGGUUAAUACCCAUCAGGAAAGACAUCACUCACAGAAGAAGCACCGGCUAACUCCGUGCCAGCAGCCGCGGUAAUACGGAGGGUGCGAGCGUUAAUCGGAAUUACUGGGCGUAAAGCGCGCGUAGGUGGCUUGAUAAGCCGGUUGUGAAAGCCCCGGGCUCAACCUGGGAACGGCAUCCGGAACUGUCAAGCUAGAGUGUAGGAGAGGAAGGUAGAAUUCCCGGUGUAGCGGUGAAAUGCGUAGAGAUCGGGAGGAAUACCAGUGGCGAAGGCGGCCUUCUGGACUGACACUGACACUGAGGUGCGAAAGCGUGGGUAGCAAACAGGAUUAGAUACCCUGGUAGUC
rnacentral:rRNA from 1 species